rnacentral:rRNA from 1 species
GAACCUGCGGAGGGAUCAUUACACAAAUAUGAAGGCGGGCUGGAACCUCUCGGGGUUACAGCCUUGCUGAAUUAUUCACCCUUGUCUUUUGCGUACUUCUUGUUUCCUUGGUGGGUUCGCCCACCACUAGGACAAACAUAAACCUUUUGUAAUUGCAAUCAGCGUCAGUAACAAAUUAAUAAUUACAACUUUCAACAACGGAUCUCUUGGUUCUGGCAUCGAUGAAGAACGCAGCGAAAUGCGAUAAGUAGUGUGAAUUGCAGAAUUCAGUGAAUCAUCGAAUCUUUGAACGCACAUUGCGCCCUUUGGUAUUCCAAAGGGCAUGCCUGUUCGAGCGUCAUUUGUACCCUCAAGCUUUGCUUGGUGUUGGGCGUCUUGUCUCUAGCUUUGCUGGAGACUCGCCUUAAAGUAAUUGGCAGCCGGCCUACUGGUUUCGGAGCGCAGCACAAGUCGCACUCUCUAUCAGCAAAGGUCUAGCAUCCAUUAAGCCUUUUUUUCAACUUUGACCUCGGAUCAGGAG